rnacentral:rRNA from 1 species
GAUGAACGCUGGCGGCGUGCUUAACACAUGCAAGUCGAACGUGAGGGGAUAGCAAUAUUCUUGAAAGUGGCGCACGGGUGAGUAAUACGUAGGUAACCUGCCCUGGAGUGGGGGAUAACAACUGGAAACGGUUGCUAAUACCGCAUGAAGCCAAGACACUGGGAAGUGACUUGGUAAAAAACUCUGGUGCUUCAGGAGGGGCCUACGGCCGAUUAGCUAGUUGGCGGGGUAAGAGCCCACCAAGGCAGUGAUCGGUAGCUGGUCUGAGAGGACGAUCAGCCACACGGGAACUGAGACACGGCCCAGACUCCUACGGGAGGCAGCAGCGGGGAAUUUUGGACAAUGGGGGCAACCCUGAUCCAGCCAUGCCGCGUGAGUGAAGAAGGCCU